GCUCUGAGACCAUUUCUGAGGCUGGAGACAUAAGCCUCUCCUUUCCAUCAUGAUGAAGUGGUGUGGAAGGUACGAGAACAGCCUAGCAACUGUGGAACAUUUCCUGACCCAGUCAUCAAUGUGAGAACAGCCUGCUGUCUCAUUGGGAUUGGUAGCAAUGGCUGUCACUUCUAGAGCUUCCACAUCAUCUGGGAACUGUGAUGGGAAACCUUCCUCCACCAGGACACCAUGCACAUGGAGCCUGCAUGGAGCUGAGAGAUGAUAUAGAGCAGAAAUGAUCCCAGCUGAGACUCGUUUGGACUGGCAGCUCCCAGAGAACCCAUCUCCCAUAUUCGCAGAUGAUCAACAAGCCCAGAAGAUACCAGCCAAGCCUGGUCCAGAUCAGCAGAACUACCCAGCCUGACCAUGGAUCAAUGACAAUUUAUAAAUGCUCCUUGAUUUAAGCCACUAAAAUAUGUUAUUCAGCAUUAAAAU
ensembl:lncRNA